CGGCCGGGAUUCGACCACCAUGGCACGGAUCCGGCACGAGGAGGCUGCCAGCGCCAGCUCCCGUGCCAGCGCCCGCUCCCGCGCCAGUUACAGCUCCCCCACCACACGUCGCCCCCCACAUUGUUGGCAACCGCCGCCUUUACCGUGAGCCACGACCGAGCGCACCCGCGAGCCGCGACAAGCCGCAGCUCUACUCAGUGUUGCCAUGCUCCUCCGUCGCACACACGAAAGUCGUUCAUCGGUGUGUCGCCUGCCCUCUUGGGAUUGCCUGCUGCGUUGAGAAGGUUACAUCCAGUGUGGUGCUUCGUUCAUCGGUGUGUCCUCUUGUGAUUGCCUGGUACGUUGAGAAGCUAACAUCCAGGUGCCCAGUUUCUCUGCUUCCUUGCUUAAUUGAUCCUGUGUGCAUGCUAUGAUGUAUACAAAAGCUCAGUUUCUCUGCUUGCUUGCUUAAUUGAUCCUGGUGUUAAUUGGGUAGUCAGUAAUACGUGACUGCAAUAAGCUCAGUUUCUCUGCUUGCAUAUUGCCUGAAUGCUUUGUCCAAUAUUAACUGUGUGAAAUGCAUGAUUCUUGAUGUUAAAUGCCAGCAUUAGUUCCGUUUUUCGACCUGCAAUGAACUAGCUGCAUGUAGUGUAUGUUUAAGGUUAGUUCACACCUAAUGUCAUACAAUAUACCAAAAUCGGUGAAACACCUGCUUCACCCCAUUUUAUAUUUAGUUUAAUGGCAC